AGAGUUUGAUCCUGGCUCAGAACGAACGUUGGCGGCGUGGAUUAGGCAUGCAAGUCGAACGCGAAAGAGGGGGCAACUCCUCGAGUAGAGUGGCGAAAGGGGCAGUAAUGCGUGGACAACCUACCCCGAGGAUGGGCAUAGCCGUCCUAACGGACGGGUAAUUCCCAGCGUUGUAGCGAAUCCGCAUGGUCUUGCUACUAAAUGAUUUAUCGCCUUGGGAGGGGUUCAUGUGAUAUUAGCUAGUUGGUGAGGUAACGGCUCACCAAGGCGAAGAUGUCUAGCGGGUGUGAGAGCACGACCCGCGCCACUGGCACUGAGACACUGGCCAGACACCUACGGGUGGCUGCAGUCGAGGAUCUUCGGCAAUGGGCGCAAGCCUGACCGAGCGACGCCGCGUGCGCGAUGAAGGCCUUCGGGUUGUAAAGCGCUGUCGAGGGGGAGGAAAGCCGAAAGGUCUGACCUAUCCCUGGAGGAAGCACGGGCUAAGUUCGUGCCAGCAGCCGCGGUAAGACGAACCGUGCGAACGUUGUUCGGAAUCACUGGGCUUAAA
rnacentral:rRNA from 1 species